rnacentral:rRNA from 1 species
GACAGAGGAUGCAAGCGUUAUCCGGAAUGAUUGGGCGUAAAGCGUCUGUAGGUGGCUUUUUAAGUCCGCCGUCAAAUCCCAGGGCUCAACCCUGGACAGGCGGUGGAAACUACCAAGCUGGAGUACGGUAGGGGCAGAGGGAAUUUCCGGUGGAGCGGUGAAAUGCGCAGAUAUCAGGAAGAACACCCGUGGCGAAGGCGGCUCUCUGGGACGUGACUGACGCUGAGACGCGAAAGCGUGGGGAGCGAACAGG